GAGGGGAUAUGAAAGAUGGCCUCUACUUGUAAGCUAUCACCCAGGGAUGGGCCUGCGUCUGAUUAGCCAGUUGGCGGGGUAACGGCCUACCAAAGCGACGAUCAGUAGCCGGUCUGAGAGGAUGAACGGCCACAUUGGGACUGAGACACGGCCCAGACUCCUACGGGAGGCAGCAGUGGGGAAUCUUCCGCAAUGGGCGCAAGCCUGACGGAGCAACGCCGCGUGAGUGAAGAAGGUCUUCGGAUCGUAAAGCUCUGUUGUUGGGGACGAACGUGCUUUUUGCGAAUAGUGGAAAGCAAUGACGGUACCCGACGAGGAAGCCACGGCUAACUACGUGCCAGCAGCCGCGGUAAUACGUAGGUGGCGAGCGUUGUCCGGAAUCAUUGGGCGUAAAGGGAGCGCAGGCGGGGAGGCAAGUCGGUCUUAAAAGUGCGGGGCUCAACCCCGUGAGGGGAUCGAAACUGCUUCUCUUGAGUACCGGAGAGGAAAGCGGAAUUCCCAGUGUAGCGGUGAAAUGCGUAGAUAUUGGGAGGAACACCAGUGGCGAAGGCGGCUUUCUGGACGGCAACUGACGCUGAGG
rnacentral:rRNA from 1 species